GAUGAACGCUAGCGGGAGGCUUAACACAUGCAAGUCGAGGGGCAGCACGAGAUAGCAAUAUUUUGGUGGCGACCGGCGCACGGGUGAGUAACACGUAUGCAGCCUACCCUGUACAGGGGGAUAACCCGGAGAAAUUCGGACUAAUAUCCCAUAAAGAUAAUGAUGGGCAUCCAUUAUUAUUUAAAGCUCAGGCGGUACGGGAUGGGCAUGCGGAACAUUAGCUAGUUGGUAGGGUAACGGCCUACCAAGGCUACGAUGUUUAGGGGACCUGAGAGGGUGAUCCCCCACACUGGCACUGAGACACGGACCAGACUCCUACGGGAGGCAGCAGUGAGGAAUAUUGGUCAAUGGGCGCAAGCCUGAACCAGCCAUCCCGCGUGAAGGAAGAAGGCGCUAUGCGUCGUAAACUUCUUUUCCAGGGAGUGAAUUCUCCGGUCAUGACCGGAAUUGACGGUACCCUGGGAAUAAGCAUCGGCUAACUCCGUGCCAGCAGCCGCGGUAACAC
rnacentral:rRNA from 1 species